rnacentral:rRNA from 1 species
UACGUAGGGUGCAAGCGUUGUCCGGAAUUAUUGGGCGUAAAGAGCUCGUAGGCGGUUUGUCGCGUCUGCUGUGAAAACUCGGGGCUCAACUCCGAGCUUGCAGUGGGUACGGGCAGACUAGAGUGCGGUAGGGGAGACUGGAAUUCCUGGUGUAGCGGUGGAAUGCGCAGAUAUCAGGAGGAACACCGGUGGCGAAGGCGGGUCUCUGGGCCGUAACUGACGCUGAGAAGCGAAAGCAUGGGGAGCGAACAGG